AGGUGGGAGGGUUGGAGUGGCCUAUUUCCCUUUUUUGUUGAAGUUCAAGCUGCUGAGAUGGAGGCUGCUGGGUUUACUGCACCAUUUCUUUCCCUCAGCAAUCUUCUCCCGGAUGGCUUGUCCCACUUCAUGCUCAUUGAAAUAGACAAAGGCACCGUCAAUGUGGCGGUAACCGGCAUCGAUGGCAGUCUUCACCGCCUCCAGACAGGAACCUUUGGGAGUCUGAUGGGAGAAGGAAAAGAAUGAACUUUGUGUCAGCCUACUGCUUACCUCUCCUUCAGUGCUAGAGGGUCCCUGAGGUGUGCGUGAGAUUCGUGGUGUAUUUUAUGCUGAGUGACCAUCCCAGGCAACAACGUUCCAACUUCUAAAUAAAAAAACUGCUGCGCACUUUUUCUCAAAAUUGUUGAGCAUGUGGGAUUCGACUGGGAAAAGGCAGCAAAGCAAAAAUGUCUCUCUGUGCAAGAGAGAAUACAAGUGUCCUCAGGAAGUAGAAUUGAAUGCAUUUGAUAUGAAAAUUAUUUAAUAAUUUCUUAUGCAGAGAGCAAGGUCUUUCCUACAACAGCCAUUUGAUAAAAUCCCAUGCUCAAGGGGAAGAUGACUUUUUGGUUGAGCAGAGCUGGACAACCACCUGCUGAUCAGAAGCUGUUUGAGUAGCUUGAACCUUUCAGCAUUGCAAGAAUUUAGAUUUGACUUUUUUCUCCUCAAAUCAACUUACCAUUGUUGAUAUCACCCUCUGAAGGUCAGGACUAUCUACUGGUAUUCCCAGUUCUGAACAGCUGCUUUAAUGUGUUGUUAAGAAACAGUAGUUGCUUUAGUGUAUAUAUAUUUUAAUGCUUCAGUUUAAGAUGAGCCCAAGAAACCUCCAAAUAAGUGAUAUUUUUGCACUGUGUGCUGCAUUUAUGUUUGCUCAUCGUUGCCAAAAUUCAGAGUAAGCUUGUUUUUUUCAGAACAGUCAUAUUUUCCAUUAGCCAAUGUGGCAAGCAAAAUUACAUGUAGGCCAAACUAAGCAAAAAAGCAUAAAAUUGGUUACUGAAAUUAUUUGCCUGGUCACUAAAAUUGUACUGAAAACAACUUAUGGUUCGUACACUUUUUAUAAUGAGAGAGCAGCUCUAAGUGGUGGUGGCCAAGGGCGUAGAGCAACGCUAUUCUCCCAUCCUUUUCAUGGGCAUUGCUCUGCUGCAACAGGGGACAUCUGAUUCACUUUAACAAAACCUCAAAUAGGGCAAGUAAAACUGCUCUGCUGUGCUGCUGUCUGUCAACAACAAAUGACAAGAGUUGCAUUUUGCUGCCUGCAAGUGCAGGGCCAAGACCACACUGCUUUUCCUGUGAAGAAAACAGAUGCCAGAGGCACCUGGAAAUGAGAUGAUAUGAAGAGAAGAUCUCAAGUUUGUUGGUUUUGACAAUGCCACGGGAAGAAGGGAAGCAGGACUGGCAGUAAGUGUUGUUGGGAAGGACCAUUUUUUACCAUAGCAAUAGCUCUCCUUCCUCUCUCUCCUAGCUGCCACUGGCCUGGCUGUCCAGAAGUUUGCCAUGAAAGAAACAGGUUCUCUUCCACCACUUGCUGAGCUAGAAGAUGUGAAACUCAUAGCUGCUAUAGAUAGGAUGCUUCAAUGAUUAAGGACAUUGGUCUUCCCUUCCAUGUUCAUGAAAGAAAAGUCUUUAAAGGACUGCUGAAGACACCUGGGGGUGUUUUCAUCCCUGUCUUUCAGUCCCAGAACUGUAGGCUGGUGACAGAUCGUUCUGGGAUAAUGGGACCAUAUUCCAGCCUGCUUGCUCAAUGCCCCAUCCUGGCUGGCUCUGAGGGACACAAAAUGGACCAACUUCUGUUUGGGCAUGGGAGGAAACUUUCUGCUCCAGCACGCAGUGCCUAAAGGUUACUUAAAAUGCAAAGCUGCUCACACGUGCCCUGAUUUAUUACAGACCUGAAUGAGGCCUGCUAAGCAAAAUGGCACAGUUUGGCACUCUAGAGUGUUUACAGCAGUGAUGAUGCAAUACUGUGUGCUUAAUUGAGGGAGACAAUGCAAUGCUUGUUUCAGUGCCUUGCUGCUUUCAUUGUGGAAGCCUACCAAAAGCACGCUUGGCCCCUGGUGGGGCCCUUUCCUGGUUGUUAGUGGGAUGUAAUGAAGACCAUGGCAGCUACCAGCUUUUCAGGCACCCUCAAUGGCUACUUUUCAUUUGGGGCAUGCUGGGCAGUGUUACAGAAGCGCGAGGCAUGGAGCAAUGACAACCUCCAACAUGUUCUCUGCUUUGUCCCUGCCUGAACCUGCCAGGAGAGGGUUUGAGAGAGGCAUCAGGAUGAAAGCUCUGACACGAGCAUUACAAGCCUGCGGUGACUGAUGACAGUAACUCAGAUCUCUGCCCCAGCAAUGAGCUGCACGAGGUUGGAGCCGCAGUUGCAAAGCUCAGGCUGACUGGCACAGAGCAGCAGAGCUCAGCCGAAAGGCUCCAUGAUAAAUAAAUCCAGCAGAAGGGCUGAGGGAGCAGACUCAGAUAUGCACCUUCACUGAAAGAAAGGAAGCAGCGAUUUGGCCCCUUCUCCACAGAUGAAGUAGCCAACUGGCCAGUUACCACUUUCUGACAAUCUGGCUUUCAUCCCCCGGAAGCAUUGGCAGCCACCAUCCAGGAAGCAAAACUCAGCAAAGGGCUCUCUGCAAAAGCAGAUAGAAGUGGGAAUGGAGGCAGAGAACACAGCUAAGAGCCACAGGCUGCUGUGCUGGCCCAGAACUUAGCUUCAUGUCAUGCACUGUGUUGCCUUGGAAGGUGGAGGACAGCAAAUACGCACAGAGAAGAUGGGGGGAAUGGUGUCACUUGUGGCCUUGUGUUUCACGACGAAUGAAGGUGGAAAAGAUGUGCCUUUCUCCUCUUACUUGAUGCUCUAUCAGUGGCCUGAGGCACGGGGUUUGUCCAUGCAACAGAAAUUAGAUUUCAUAACUGCAGAUUUAGCAUUUCUAGAAUUCCUGUGACAUUGUUAUUCUAGGAUUUAGCCAAAGCUUUCUUCAGGAAAGCCUUAUUAUUGUCACUGGCAGACAGUGCUGGAGUUAUUUUUAACACUUAAUUGGAGAAUGCUCUGUUUUAGGAACGCUGCAACUUUUCACUUGACACAAAAUAAGUUAAUGCAAGGUGAAGCUAAAGAGCUGCCAUACCUUUCUGCUGGCAGCUAGAGGAUUACAGCAAACCAAGCACAUGAUAUGGACACCUGGGUCCCUGUGCUCCCAGUGAGAGAGGGGUGGACCGGGAAAGUUUCCUGAAGAGCUGGAGGACACAACAGCCAGCUGGCUGGCCCUGGAAAGCAUGGAUCUAUCUGGGAGGGUGGGUGCUAUCAAAAUACCCUUCAGACAAGCAAUGCAAUCACAGGGAUGCAUGAGGUACAAGUGGAAGAUAAAGCACCAGCUUGUGCAAUAAGAGAAGAAAAGGUUGCCAGUACCUCUUCUGCUUCAUUCCCUAGAGUUAAAGGGGAGAGGUUUCUGGCGCCAGUUCGAAGAAGUGUUUGCAAAGGCAAAUGUAAAACUUGGGGAAUUCCACCACCUAGUUAGCUGAACCAACAAGAGUUGGCUUCGAAGCCUAGAGAGGCAUUUUUUGCACAGUGCUUUCAAGUUUUGACAAAUCUGGCCUCCUAGGUCAACCAAAGAGACAAUCCAGAUGUUUAGCUUCCCGCAUGAGCUGCAAGAACAUGCUUACGCGGUUUUUUGGAGAACUGUGGGGAAUCAGGGACACAUCGGCGUGCACAGCCAUAUUUAACGUAUGGAGUCGUCCAGGGACAUUUUAAAAAUGGAGCUUUGCCUGGAAAAUUGGGCUCUAAAUGUUCUUGCCAAAAAGCGUAUCUUUCAGUUGUGGUAAUCCCUAUUACUCACUCGUAGGGGUUCAGUUUUUCCGCUCUUCAACAAUGCCAGUGAUUCCCUGUCUCAUCUUCUGUAAAACAGUCUUCUUAACUUUUAUUUAGAUAGAAUGGCUUUCCCUGUAGCUUUUGAAUGGACUUAAAAAAAACCCCAGCAUAUUUAGAAAGCCAUAGGAAAAGAGAAGAAUAAAAGUACUAUUUUUGGGGUGUCAAUAUUUGGGUUAGUAUUAUUGCACUGGUAACAGCUAACUUUGUAGUUUUUGGAAGAGGGAUAUAUUGAAACAGCUAGUUCUUGUCACUUGCAGCAUGCAGCUAUGGAAUGGAAAAGGUCUGUUCUCUGUUUGGUUACUUUUCAAAUAAGAAUCCCUGUGACUGGUUUUGAGUAGUGCUACUGUCCUAGAAGCUUAUCUGGAUUAACCCUCUAUUAGUUUUGGACCUGGACUGACUAAACACGGCUCUACCCUGUGUCACAGGCAGACACAUAGUUUGGUGGAUCCUGCUGGUACCUGAUAGCCACCAUCCAAAAGUUGUACUGACUCCCAGACAAAGUUGUCACCUCCUAAAGGCACCCUUGUUCUGGGAUCAUUUUCCUGCGGAGCGCUCUUGCUGUAUCCAAGUCUGCACGCGUUGGUACCGUGUUUGGGAGCCAAAUGACGCGGUGCCAGGGCGGCUGCAAGAGCCAGCUCCUCUGCUCGGAUUAGGCAGGCAUCACUGCACAAGGCCAGGCAAUUACCUGCCUGUCAAUGGAUUCAUGAGUGCAAGUCCUCGGCUCUGCGUGGGGAUACCUUUGGAUAUAUGGGGAUACCUUGGUCCUGGAGCAGUCUGAAAAUGUUUUCAUGUAGCAGCUGAGAUGUCAUCAUAGGUUAGAGGUACUACCAUUUUAAGAAAAAGGGGUUUUGUUUUAGGGGUGCUGAGGUAGCCAGGGGGAAGGGAAGAGGUUGUCCUGAGCACAAUCUGCUCCUUAUAGCAAAAUAAAAAAAUCACCAUUUUUCAAGACCAGCAAUUUUGUGUCCAUUUUGCUCAGAAGUCCUCCCUUAGUUUAAUGAACUUUGUAGCUAGAAAGCUAGUUUUUCACUCACACUCAUCUACAAGGUUGGGCUGUUUGUCAUUAGGAAUUUCACAUGUUGACCACUUCAGUAAACACAUCUUUUAAUCUGCUCCACAUGACUAGACACUAAUUGUGUUGACAACUGGAAACAGAAGCCAUUAGCACAGAGCAAAGAUUAGUAAUACUAUCACUUUGUUUCUAUUAAGCUUCUAGUUCCAUGGAAAUGAAGAACCACAGAGAUUUCGUCAGAGAAGAUGUGAAGAGGUAAAAGAGCAUUUUGCAAAUUCAACAAUGUCUUAAAACUGUGGGUUUUGUGCAAAUCAAAGUAUUAGGAAUAAAGCUUGUGUCUCC